rnacentral:tRNA from 1 species
GACUGAUUAGUUUACUUAAAACGGGUGUUUUGAAAACACCAAACAAGAGAAAUCUCUUAUUAGUCG